GAAAGCCCCUGGCUCAACCAGGGAGGGUCAUUGGAAACUGGAGAACUUGAGUGCAGAAGAGGAAAGUGGAAUUCCAUGUGUAGCGGUGAAAUGCGUAGAUAUAUGGAGGAACACCAGUGGCGAAGGCGACUUUCUGGUCUGUAACUGACGCUGAGGCUCGAAAGCAUGGGGAGCAAACAGGAUUAGAUACCCUGGUAGUCCAUGCCGUAAACGAUGAGUGCUAAGUGUUGGAGGGUUUCCGCCCUUCAGUGCUGCAGCUAACGCAUUAAGCACUCCGCCUGGGGAGUACGACCGCAAGGUUGAAACUCAAAGGAAUUGACGGGGGCCCGCACAAGCGGUGGAGCAUGUGGUUUAAUUCGAAGCAACGCGAAGAACCUUACCAGGUCUUGACAUCCUUUGACCACUCUAGAGAUAGAGCUUUCCCUUCGGGGACAAAGUGACAGGUGGUGCAUGGUUGUCGUCAGCUCGUGUCGUGAGAUGUUGGGUUAAGUCCCGCAACGAGCGCAACCCUUAUUAUUAGUUGCCAGCAUUCAGUUGGGCACUCUAGUGAGACUGCCGGUGAUAAACCGGAGGAAGGUGGGGAUGACGUCAAAUCAUCAUGCCCCUUAUGACCUGGGCUACACACGUGCUACAAUGGAUGGUACAACGAGUCGCAAAACCGCGAGGUUAAGCUAAUCUCUUAAAGCCAUUCUCAGUUCGGAUUGUAGGCUGCAAUUCGCCUACAUGAAGCCGGAAUCGCUAGUAAUCGCGGAUCAGAACGCCGCGGUGAAUACGUUCCCGGGCCUUGUACACACCGCCCGUCACACCACGAGAGUUUGUAACACCCAAAGUCGGUGAGGUAACCUUCGGGAGCCAGCCGCCUAAGGUGGGACAGAUGAUUGGGGUG
rnacentral:rRNA from 1 species